AGUAGGGAAGUGUUGAAGACAACCGCGCCCUUCACAGACUGGCCACCGUUAGAACGCUAAAUGAAUCAAAGAUCGAGGGUGAAAAUGGAAAGGGCUAAAGGCGCUAAGAAAAGUUUCAUCUAGUGGCAAGAAACAUGUUCCCCCAAGAUUGCUUCAAUGCACUAUGAGGGAGACAUGAACGAUGCAGACAAAUACAAAGCAGAGACGUGGCGCCCUCCUUAGCUGUGUGAUCUAAAAGCUCCGGCAGCAGUACAGCGACGCUCCCGCAGCCACCACAGGGACUUCAAGACAGAGUCGAGAGCAGGAAAAACUUUGAAGAGUCAAUGAUGCAUCUGCAAGUGCCCCAAACGAGAGAAACACUUAAAAUGAGGCAUGCAUGCUAGGAAUGUCUGGUCAGCUAAGUGACAUCACAGCCCUGAAGGGUGGAGGGGGACCGGUGAGUUGGACACAUUUCAGUGACAUGCCACUCCUUACUGCCAUGCAGUGGUCGAUAAGUGUACAAAACAUUAAGAACACCAAGUUGCUCCCUGCUGUUUGUCCCCCCUCAGAACAGCCUCAACUCGUCAGGGAAUGGACUCUACAAGGUGUCUAAAGAGUUCCACAGGGACACUGGACCAUGUUGACUCCAAUGCUUCACACAGUUGUGUCAAGUUGGCUGGAUGUCCAUUGGGUGGUGGAGCAUUAUUGAUAUACAUGGGAAACGGUUGAGCGUGGAAGAGCCAUCAGUGUUGCAGUUCUUGACACACUCAAAACGCCUGGCACCUACCAUGACCCGUUCAUAGGCAAUUAAAUAUUUUGUCUUGCCCAUUCACCCUCUGAAUGUCACACAAUCCAUGUCUCCAGGCGUUACAAUCCAUCUUUAACCCCGUCUCCUCCCCUUCAUCUACACUGAUUGAAGUGGAUUGAACAAGUGACAUGAGGGAUCAUAACUUUCACCUGGUCAGUUGGUCAUGGAAUGAGCAGCAUUAUUGUUAGUACAAGUUCGCCAUUUAUUAGCCUCUUUUAUCCAAAGUGUCUUCGUCAUGCGCGCAUACAAUUUUUACAUAUGUUUGGUCCUGGGAAUAAUUGGCUUAGGAUUUAUUCUCCACAGGGACGCUGGCCCAUGUUCAAAUCAAAUUUUAUGUCACAAGCCGCGAAUACAACAGGUAGACCUUAGUGAAAUGCUUACUUGGAAGCCCUUAAACCAACAAUACUAAAAGAAAAGAGCUACAAAAUAACAGUGCUAUAUACGGGGGUACCGAGUCAAUGUUCGGGGGUAGAAGUUAGUUGAGGUAAUAUGUACAUGUAGGUAGGGGUGAAAUGACUAUGCAAGUUGGAUAAUAUUACCCCCAAUGUUUUCUGUCCCUCCCUUCAGUACACAGAUAUCCCUGGGCCCAAGAAGAAACUAAUGAAAAACAACAAAACAAGUGUUGUGUUGACAGAGCCAGGACGUCAGUGAUUUCUUUCCUCUUGGUGUUUUUAAAUGAAACCUUGCGAAUUCGGUUUCAAGUACUUGAGAGUACAGUGAUUAUGCAUCUAGCUUUAUCUGCGACUUUCAGAAGAUCAAUAAUUGAAUCUUAAAAAAAGAAAGCAGGAUGAAGAUUUU